UCUCGUUCCUUAUCUUCUCAUAGUGCACGCCUCCCUUCCUCUCCCCCACCGAUGCCUCCCAGCUCCCUCUCAACCACCGCCGCCUCCCUUUCGGUCACCUCCAUUUCGUUCCUCUCCUUUUCCCCCGCCCACCCUCUCUCACUCUCCCCUCUCCCCACAUAGUAGUGGUGUGUCGAGCUAUGGAUCGGAGCCGCGUGCAACCAUGACGGGGUCACGGUGCGUACCGGAGACAUGCGCGGCGCGGACUGGCACACGAUGGCUGCGGCGAGCAGUGGUACGAAUCAGAGCCGCGGCGUGUGGUCGCGGCGCCAAGCAGAGGCGCGUGACGGCGUCGCGGAGCGGGGCACUCGGAGGAGCAGCUCGCGGUGCAGCACGCAUCGGCAUCUAUUUUUCAUGGAUGACUGCCUUCAACAACUGAUGGAUCGCAUUGAUGCUGGCGAAGGAGAGCAGUUGAAGAACUUAAUACUAAGUGAGAGGCUCGCAAAACUUGUUCGUAUGAGGCUGGAAAUGCAGGCACCUUAUAUAUCAAAGUGGCCUCAAGCACUGAGUAUCCAGGUGUGCCAUAGUAUUCUUCCUUUGGGCUUGUGACUUGUGAGUUUACUUCAGUCACAUGGAUAUAAUACCAUCUGUAUUGUACUUGACACACUACUACAGAAUAGGUCUUUGUUCCAGACCAUUUGUCC